rnacentral:lncRNA from 1 species
GACAGGGAGAGGGAGGCAGAUCCCAUGAAAUGAGGCUGGACAGGAAGUCCUCCCAACGAGGUUAUCAGGCAAAUCAAGAAGAGUGGGAAGUGCCCGAAGACAGGAGGCUGCCUGCCAGCGACUCCACGGGCUCAGGCUGUUUGUAGUUCAUGUGCAUAAUUUUUAAAGAUAGACAUAAGACAUACCCCUGAAGAUGAGUACAAGAGAGAAAGACAGGGCUCUGAAAAUACUGCCAUAGGCUCAAGUUCCAAAGUGCUGGAGUUACAAAAGUAUAAAGGACAACGCAAAGGACUUUUUAGCCAAAGAAGAACCAGAAAGGAUUGCAGCGGCUACAUCUAGAAUCAACGGGUGGAAGUUAUAUGGCAUAAAUCUCAGAUCAGUGAGGUUCUGAGCACUGAUUUCAUCAAGCCGAUGGAGGCAACAACAUAUUCCUUAGGGAAAAUUAAGAUGCACAGUAUGCUUCAAGAUGAUGGCCAAGAACAACCAACUCAACGAGCCUUCAGGAAUUCAUGAUUUGAAUAUCAUGUUCAAGGCUGCCUUCUAGAUAAAGAUCAAACCAAGAAAGUCCAUGUGUCACUGCUCCGUGAAGGCUCCGGGUGGAACUCCCUGCCCCACUCCACCUUUAAGAUUUCCAGCACAGUGUCUUCACCUCCUUCAGCGCCCCUGUUUACAUGUCCAUCUCUCUCUUUAGAAGCUACAGACAUCAGCAAACUCGAGAAAAGAAGGUUUGCUCUGGGAGAUUCUACAUGUGACCUGUUUAUAUGUAAUUAUAUUAUCUAUUACUCAAGUAUUUGUCUUGUGCUGUCUAAAUUAUAAGCUUCUCAACUGUUUGCCUUGAGUGAGAUGUGCACGCUAAAGCCUCUCAAUAAAUAUUAAUUGAAUGAAUAAUUGAAAAAAACC